GGUGUUUAAGAGAAUCAAGAUGGUGGCGUAGGUAAAUGUGUUACUCGCAUCCUUCCACAACCAUAUAAAAAUUACAACUAAACUACAGAAAAACCAUCACUCAGAACCACCUGAAAUCUAGCUGGAUAUAAGUCCUAAAACUAGAAAUUUAAAGAAACCAUGUUGUCUGCUAGGAGAUGUGGACAUACGGAACGGCAUGGUCCCCCACACACAUGCACUAAAUAAAAAUCAGGAGGGAUAUCUUGGCUGCA